rnacentral:rRNA from 1 species
UCAGGAUGAACGCUAGCGACAGGCUAACACAUGCAAGUCGAGGGGCAGCACGGGAGUAGCAAUACAACUGGUGGCGACCGGCGCACGGGUGAGUAACGCGUAUGCAACCUACCUAUCAGAGGGGAAUAACCCGGCGAAAGUCGGACUAAUACCGCAUAAAACAGGGGCACCGCAUGGUGAUAUUUGUUAAAGAGAUUCGCUGAUAGAUGGGCAUGCGUUCCAUUAGGUAGUUGGUGAGGUAACGGCUCACCAAGCCGACGAUGGAUAGGGAACUGAGAGGUUGGUCCCCCACACUGGUACUGAGACACGGACCAGACUCCUACGGGAGGCAGCAGUGAGGAAUAUUGGUCAAUGGGCGGGAGCCUGAACCAGCCAAGUCGCGUGAAGGAAGAAGGAUCUAUGGUUCGUAAACUUCUUUUGCAGGGGAAUAAAGUGCAGGACGUGUCCUGUUUUGUAUGUACCCUGAGAAUAAGGAUCGGCUAACUCCGUGCCAGCCGCCGC